UUUUUGUGGCUUCAAUUUCCUGUAGGUUUCCAUACUACCGACGUCACGAAAGGGAGUUGCAUUUUUGGUGGCAUGUAAAUGUUAUAUUUAUUCUGCACAACUUCUAACAAGCCAUGGACAUCCCGGAGAUUCCACAUCACAGCUUCAAUUUCAAGCCAUUUGGAGAUUUCUUAAAUGGGGAUUUUGAAGUCGACCGCUUAUAUGAUAUGAUUGGUGUUCUCCACCAAAUUCACAGGACCCAAGUUGUUGGAGCUGGCUAAAAGGCUUGCAUCAUCCUUACAUUAUACGAUGAAAGGUUUAUUACAAUUCAUUUCCA